UCCGAAUUGGUGUAGUGGCUAACAUUUGACGCUCUCAUAUCAAUGAUGAUCCGUCAAGCCCGGGGUUCGAUUCCCCGAUUCGGAG